UUAAAGUAACAAAAUUAGGACUUCAUUCUUUCUUUUUUCUUUUUUCAUAUAACACUAUUUCUUACAAUUAGUAACAAUCGCUGUUUCUGGAUAUUACAUGUAAUAUCCAGAAACAACGAUUCUUACUGAUUGUAAGAAAUAGUGUUAUGACAAAGAAAAAAGAAAGAAUGAAUCAUAAUUUUAGAAGACG
rnacentral:miRNA from 1 species